GACGAACGCUGGCGGCGUGCCUAAUACAUGCAAGUCGAGCGAAUCAAUAGGAGCUUGCUCCUGUUGGUUAGCGGCGGACGGGUGUGUAACACGUGGGCAACCUGCCUGUAAGACUGGGAUAACACCGGGAAACCGGUGCUAAUACCGGAUAAUCUUUUUCCUCUCAUGAGGAACAACUGAAAGUCGGCUUCGGCUGACACUUACAGAUGUGCCCGCGGCGCAUUAGCUAGUUGGUGAGGUAACGGCGCACCAAGGCGACGAUGCGUAGCCGGUCUGAGAGGACGACCAGCCACACUGGGACUGAGACACGGCCCAGACUCCUACGGGAGGCAGCAGUGGGGAAUCUUGCGCAAUGGGCGAAAGCCUGACGCAGCGACGCCGCGUGAGGGAAGAAGGCCUUCGGGUUGUAAACCUCUUUCAGGAGGGACGAAGCCACUCGGGUUAAUACCCCAGAGGGUGACGGUACCUCCAGAAGAAGCCCCGGCUAACUACGUGCCAGCAGCCGCCGUAACAC
rnacentral:rRNA from 1 species